GCUCUGUGGAUCAGUGGCGAACGGGUGAGAAUCCGUGAGCAAUCUGCCCCUGACUCUGGGAUAAGCGCUGGAAACGGCGUCUAAUACCGGAUACGAGCUGCGACCGCAUGGUCGGCAGUUGGAAAGAAUUUCGGUCAGGGAUGAGCUCGCGGCCUAUCAGCUUGUUGGUGAGGUAAUGGCUCACCAAGGCGUCGACGGGUAGCCGGCCUGAGAGGGUGACCGGCCACACUGGGACUGAGACACGGCCCAGACUCCUACGGGAGGCAGCAGUGGGGAAUAUUGCACAAUGGGCGAAAGCCUGAUGCAGCAACGCCGCGUGAGGGAUGACGGCCUUCGGGUUGUAAACCUCUUUUAGCAGGGAAGAAGCGAAAGUGACGGUACCUGCAGAAAAAGCGCCGGCUAACUACGUGCCAGCAGCCGCGGUAAUACGUAGGGCGCAAGCGUUAUCCGGAAUUAUUGGGCGUAAAGAGCUCGUAGGCGGUCUGUCGCGUCUGCUGUGAAAACCCGAGGCUCAACCUCGGGCCUGCAGUGGGUACGGGCAGACUAGAGUGCGGUAGGGGAGAUUGGAAUUCCUGGUGUAGCGGUGGAAUGCGCAGAUAUCAGAGGAACACCGAUGGCGAAAGCAGAUCUCUGGGCCGUAACUG
rnacentral:rRNA from 1 species